GACGAACGCUGGCGGCGUGCUUAACACAUGCAAGUCGAGCGGUAAGGCCCUUUCGGGGGUACACGAGCGGCGAACGGGUGAGUAACACGUGGGUGACCUGCCCUCAGCUCUGGGAUAAGCCCGGGAAACUGGGUCUAAUACCGGAUAUGACCUCUCAUCGCAUGGUGGGUGGUGGAAAGUCGGUGUCAUUGAUGCCGGCGGUUGGGGAUGGGCCCGCGGCCUAUCAGCUUGUUGGUGGGGNGAUGGCCUACCAAGGCGACGACGGGUAGCCGGCCUGAGAGGGCGACCGGCCACACUGGGACUGAGACACGGCCCAGACUCCUACGGGAGGCAGCAGUGGGGAAUCUUGCGCAAUGGGCGAAAGCCUGACGCAGCGACGCCGCGUGAGGGAUGACGGCCU
rnacentral:rRNA from 1 species